GCACCUGUAGCUCAGUUGGUUAGAGCGCAUGCUUGACAUGCAUGAGGUCGCAGGUUCGAGUCCUGCCAGGUGCA
rnacentral:tRNA from 1 species